UUCUUCUUCGAAUGUCUCCUGAUUUCUUUCUUAAUUAGAAAAAAAAAAAGUCCGGCGGUUCAGUUACCGGAAAAUCUAUCAUUCUUCACCGGAGAACAGAAUUUGUAUUUUUUUUUGUAGUUUGUUUUUUCAAGGAUGAGUAGCGUACAGAAUACUGUAGAUACUGUAAAUGCUGCCGCUUCGGCUAUAGUUAAUGCAGAGAGUAGAGUUCAACCAUCUACAGUUCAGAAGAGAAGAUGGGGAAGCUGCUGGAGUCUAUACUGGUGUUUUGGUUCUCACAAGCACAGCAAAAGAAUUGGUCAUGCCGUCCUUGUUCCUGAACCUGCAGCACCUGGACCUGCUGUUCCAGUUACUGAAAAUCCAAACCACUCAGCCACCAUUGUAAUUCCCUUUAUAGCUCCUCCAUCUUCUCCUGCAUCCUUUCUUCCAUCUGAUCCUCCUUCUGCUACCCAGUCACCCGCUGGAUUACUCUCUCUCAAAUCCCUCUCUAUCAAUGCAUAUUCUCCCGGUGGGACUGCGUCUAUUUUUGCAAUUGGUCCCUAUGCUCAUGAAACACAGUUAGUUUCCCCACCUGUUUCUCUACCUUCACUACUGAACCAUCUACUGCUAAUUUUACUCCCCCACCUGAGUUGGUGCAUAUGACAACUCCACCUUCACCAGAAGUGCCUUUUGCACAGCUUUUGACAUCAUCACUGGCCCGCAACAGAAGAUAUAGUGGGUCCAAUUAUAAGUUCCCGUUGUCCCAGUAUGAGUUUGUGCCUUAUCAAGAUCCAGGAAGUCCGGGUAGUAAUCUAAUAUCUCCUGGUUCAGUAGUAUCAAAUUCUGGCACCUCCUCACCUUUCCCUGGAAAAUGCCCUAUAAUUGAGUUUCGUAAGGGGGAGCCUCCGAAAUUUCUUGGUUAUGAACAUUUCUCCACUCGCAAAUGGGGUUCAAGGGUUGGCUCAGGAUCAUUGACACCAAGUGGCUGGGGCUCUAGGCUAGGUUCUGGAACUCUGACCCCAAACGGUGGGAUUUCAAGGCUAGGUUCUGGUACUGUGACUCCAAAUGGUGGGGAACCUCCUUCCCGAGAUAGUUACCUUUUGGAGUACCAAAUCUCCGAGGUAGCAUCUCUUGCUAAUUCUGAUAAUGGUUCUGAAAUUGGGGAAGGUGUAAUUGAUCACAGAGUUUCAUUUGAAUUAACUGGAGAAGAUGUCCCGAGUUGUAGAGAAAAGGAUCCCGUCAUGUCACAUUCGCAACAGACUCUUCCAAUGGAUGUCUCCAAUUUGUUAGCCAAUGAAAUGAAAAGCGGUAGCUCUAUGGCCGAAGAAAAAACAUAUGGAUCGCCUAGGAAAGCUUCAGAAAGUGGGGAAGAUCAAUGCCAUAGAAAACACCGGAAUAUUACCUUUGGCUCAAGCAAAGAUUUUGAUUUUGACAAUGUGAAAAUAGAAGUCUUGGAGAAGGACAGUAUUGACUGUGAGUGGUGGACAAGUGACAAGGCUGCUGGGAAGGAAUCAGGUGUUCAAAACAACUGGACUUUCUUUCCUGUGUUGCAACCGGGCGCCAGCUAAUGCUUGAGACUAAAGGUUAAAAAUCAAUGUUAAAACACACCGAUGUUACUGCUUCUGGUAAUACUAUAAACGAGCUGGGAAUGCAAUUUUCAGGCAUAGAAUUCUAAUUGCAGCAACCUUAGCUUUAAAACUGAAGAAUUGUGCAGUAAUUGGUGUUUAAUUUGGUGCUCAGAUAGUCAGUCACCUGAAAAUAUUCCUUUGAAUAAAGGACUUUUGUAUACACCAUAGAAUAUGUUUGAAAAGGAGAUGUAAAUGAUUAUUAUUUCUUAAAAAUGAGAAUUUCUCACUU